CCGAGUUUACAACUCCCAAACCCAAUGUGAACGUUACCAAACUGUUGCCUCGGCGGGAUCUCUGCCCCGGGUGCGUCGCAGCCCCGGACCAAGGCGCCCGCCGGAGGACCAACCAAAACUCUUAUUGUAUACCCCCUCGCGGGUUUUUUUUUAUAAUCUGAGCCUUCUCGGCGCCUCUCGUAGGCGUUUCGAAAAUGAAUCAAAACUUUCAACAACGGAUCUCUUGGUUCUGGCAUCGAUGAAGAACGCAGCGAAAUGCGAUAAGUAAUGUGAAUUGCAGAAUUCAGUGAAUCAUCGAAUCUUUGAACGCACAUUGCGCCCGCCAGUAUUCUGGCGGGCAUGCCUGUCCGAGCGUCAUUUCAACCCUCGAACCCCUCCGGGGGGUCGGCGUUGGGGAUCGGCCCUCCCUUAGCGGGGUGGCCGUCUCCGAAAUACAGUGGCGGUCUCGCCGCAGCCUCUCCUGCGCAGUAGUUUGCACACUCGCAUCGGGAGCGCGGCGCGUCCACAGCCGUUAAACACCCAACUUCUGAAAUGUUGACCUCGGAUCAGGUAGGAAUACCCGCUGAACUUAAGCAUAUCAA
rnacentral:rRNA from 1 species